CAUCCUACGGGGCGCAGCAGUAGGGAAUCUUCCACAAUGGACGAAAGUCUGGUGGAGCAACGCCGCGUGAGUGAAGAAGGGUUUCGGCUCGUAAAGCUCUGUUGGUAGUGAAGAAAGAUAGAGGGAGUAACUGGCCUUUAUUUGACGGUAAUUACUUAGAAAGUCACGGCUAACUACGUGCCAGCAGCCGCGGGAAUACGUAAGUGGCAAGCGGUUUCCGGAGUUUUUGGGCGUAAAGAGAGUGCAGG
rnacentral:rRNA from 1 species